UACGGGGGGGGCAAGCGUUGUUCGGAAUUACUGGGCGUAAAGGGCUCGUAGGUGGCCAACUAAGUCGGACGUGAAAUCCCUCAGCUUAACUGGGGAACUGCGUCCGAUACUGGAUGGCUUGAGUUCGGUAGGGGAGACUGGAAUUCCUGGUGUAGCGGUGAAAUGCGCAGAUAUCAGGAGGAACACCGGUGGCGAAGGCGGGUCUCUGGGCCGAUACUGACGCUGAGGAGCGAAAGCGUGGGGAGCGAACAGG
rnacentral:rRNA from 1 species